rnacentral:rRNA from 2 species
AGAGUUUGAUCCUGGCUCAGGAUGAACGCUGGCGGCGUGCUUAACACAUGCAAGUCGAACGGGAAUUACUUUAUUGAAACUUCGGUCGAUUUAAUUUAAUUCUAGUGGCGGACGGGUGAGUAACGCGUGGGUAACCUGCCUUAUACAGGGGGAUAACAGUCAGAAAUGACUGCUAAUACCGCAUAAGCGCACAGAGCUGCAUGGCUCGGUGUGAAAAACUCCGGUGGUAUAAGAUGGACCCGCGUUGGAUUAGCUAGUUGGUGAGGUAACGGCCCACCAAGGCGACGAUCCAUAGCCGGCCUGAGAGGGUGAACGGCCACAUUGGGACUGAGACACGGCCCAGACUCCUACGGGAGGCAGCAGUGGGGAAUAUUGCACAAUGGGGGAAACCCUGAUGCAGCGACGCCGCGUGAAGGAAGAAGUAUCUCGGUAUGUAAACUUCUAUCAGCAGGGAAGAAAAUGACGGUACCUGACUAAGAAGCCCCGGCUAACUACGUGCCAGCAGCCGCGGU